AGUUGAUUCCAUGACCCACAGUGUAGCAUGGCCCUCGGACUGAAUAACAUUUUGUCCUUGGUAAGGACUUUAACUUACUCCUUAUGGGAUGCUGAGCAAGUGACUUAUGUAAGCCCCGAUUUCCUCCUCAGUACAAUUAAAAAGUAUUAUUUCAUGUAGCAUAAGAUUUUGUGAAACUGAAAGUAGAUAUUUCAUAUAAAACACUUAGCUCAAUGCCUGUCAUAACGUAAGCGGUCAAUAAAAAUCAUCUCCCAUCAUUAUUAUUUUCUUUUCCAACAGGAAUCUCACCAAUCUAGAGGAGACUGAGACCAUGCAUUCUCUACUUCUCUUAAGCUGAGCAUGGUGAUGGGUGCCUGUCGUCUCAGCUACUCAGGAGGCUGACGCAGAGGAAUUACUUGAACCCGGGAAGCAGAGGUUGUAGUGAGCCAAGAUCGCACCACGGCACUCCAGCCUGAUGACAGAGCGAGACUCCAUCAAAAAAAUAAAUAAAUAAAUAAAAAUAAAAAUAAA
rnacentral:lncRNA from 1 species